UAAUACGGAGGGUGCAAGCGUUAUCCGGAUUCACUGGGUUUAAAGGGUGCGUAGGUGGGCAGGUAAGUCAGUGGUGAAAUCCUUGAGCUUAACUCGAGAACUGCCAUUGAUACUAUCUGUCUUGAAUGUUGUGGAGGUGAGCGGAAUAUGUCAUGUAGCGGUGAAAUGCUUAGAUAUGACAUAGAACAUCUAUUGCGAAGGCAGCUCACUACGCAAAUAUUGACACUGAGGCACGAAAGCGUGGGGAUCAAACAGGAUUAGAUACCCUGGUAGUCCACGCCCUAAACGAUGAUUACUCGACAUACGCGAUACACAGUGUGUGUCUGAGCGAAAGCAUUAAGUAAUCCACCUGGGAAGUACGACCGCAAGGUUG
rnacentral:rRNA from 1 species